GUUAAGUCCCGCAACGAGCGCAACCCUCAUCCUUAGUUGCCAUCAUUUAGUUGGGCACUUUAGGAAACUGCCGGUGAUAAGCCGGAGGAAGGUGGGGAUGACGUCAAGUCCUCAUGGCCCUUACAGGCUGGGCUACACACGUGCUACAAUGGCGAUGACAGUGGGCAGCUAUCCCGCAAGGGUGAGCUAAUCUCCAAAAGUCGUCUCAGUUCGGAUUGUUCUCUGCAACUCGAGAGCAUGAAGGCGGAAUCGCUAGUAAUCGCGGAUCAGCAUGCCGCGGUGAAUACGUUCCCAGGCCUU
rnacentral:rRNA from 1 species